rnacentral:sRNA from 1 species
UAUUAUUAUUGCGUUGUGUAUUGAGGGUAGGUGAGCAAUUUCGAACAGUGCAUAACCAAUGAGCAUGCAUAUCAUAUUUUUGAGCUAUUAAAUUGCGACCUGUAGAUACACACUACAUACAUAUGUAUGAGCUUUUGAGCUUCUUACUGGUAUCCCUCAUUUCCAGCCUAUUCAUAGAGUGGGUUUGUUUGCUUUGAGUGGAGCACCAUUUAGACAAUUGAGUGAGGUGGUGAGUGGUGGCAAUCCACAGACUCCACUUGACCCCGUUCGAGUGCAUUUUUUGUUACCUUCGUUGAGUUCAGGCGACAGGAUAGCAGCAACUCAGACAGAGCCAAGCGGAACUGCCAAAAAUUCAACUCGUCAUGACCUCUCUCUGGCAUUAGCUCUACCUCUCUCUCUAUCUGCAUCUCUCUCACAUACAAUGGGCUUCUCUGAGUGAGUGCGAGAUGGCAAGACCUUAUGGGGUUCAGUGAGUGAGACGCCUGGAAGCAUGAAAAAAUCCUUGAACAUAUUGAUGAACCAGGAGUGCAGUAGUCAGAGCUGCAUCAUGAGUUUCAAAUAACUGGAAUAACUGCUGCCAAGUCAAAGUCAAUGGCACAUUAUCCGCAAUCGGAGCAGGGGAACCACUGCAGAGCAGCGCAGAGCAGAGGAACGGAACGGAACGGAUGGGCCAUGGACCGACCAUUAGAAGAGGCGGAUGAGGGAGGCACCGCAGCGGAGGAAGUGGCUCGAGUUGAGUCUGGCCUCUGCUUAGACAUUCCUUGCAGCUCCCUCAAGGCCGCACAGUAGGCCUUGCAAUUGAGCUUACUCAAAUGUUGGUAUAUGUAUGUGGCUUUAGUUUUGUUGAUGUUCCCGUUAAAAGUGUUGCAAAAUCAAACAAAAAUAUAUACAAUGUCGUAAGGUUUUCGAUUAUUUUAAAGUUCGCGUUGAAGGUACUUUCCCUUCUUUCCAAAAAUGAUUGGUUUCUUUGACCUGCGAACUCUCUUUGCUCCGCUGGAAUAUGGCGUGAGAAUAGCCUCGAGUCUGGUGUCGGCCGUUGGAAACUUUCUGCAGUGCAUGUGGCUGCCACCUUUGAGGCAUACAUAGUUCAUGUCUGUGGCAUACAUCUGCUCUUCUUCAAUCAAAUCUCCAGCAAACAUUUUUGAAAAACUAAAUUUUAAAAUUCAUGUUGCUAAAUUUGACGGAGCUUAGGUCAUUAGAUCACACAAUUCCAAAUAAACAUGUGAUCGUACAACUCACAGAAUAACGUAUAAACCUUACUAAGGAGAGGCCAAGUGUUGGCCAGGUUGCAGAUGAAGCCAGACCUGGCCAAAGGAAUGCAAAGCCAACAGACGGACGACCGAAUGAAGAAGAUGUUAACCCACAGGCGGCGGAUGUGUCCAAGAAGCAGGGACCACGACCACGACCACGACCAGGACCCGGACCAGUCGUCCCCCCGAGGGUAGGGGUCUGGGGCUGGGACUGAGACUGAAGCCCAGAAGAAGCGUAAAGAGCAGCAAACAACAGCAGCAUAAGCAAAACGACCAACAACUAAGAGAUGAAGGAACGGAAGAGUACCAACGACAACGACCCUGGGAGCAAAUUCAAUGCAAUAAUACAAAAAAAACUUGCAGAAAAUAUAACUUGGACGCGCCGAUUUAUAUAUA